CCUACGGGGUGCAGCAGUAGGGAAUAUUGCUCAAUGGGGGAAACCCUGAAGCAGCAACGCCGCGUGGAGGAUGAAGGUUUUCGGAUUGUAAACUCCUUUUGUUAGAGAAGAUAAUGACGGUAUCUAACGAAUAAGCACCGGCUAACUCCGUACCAGCAGCCGCGGUAAUACGGAGGGUGCAAGCGUUACUCGGAAUCACUGGGCGUAAAGAGCGCGUAGGCGGGAUAGCAAGUCAGAUGUGAAAUCCUAUGGCUUAACCAUAGAACUGCAUUUGAAACUGUUAUUCUAGAGUAUGGGAGAGGUAGGUGGAAUUCUUGGUGUAGGGGUAAAAUCCGUAGAGAUCAAGAGGAAUACUCAUUGCGAAGGCGACCUGCUGGAACAUUACUGACGCUGAUGCACGAAAGCGUGGGGAGCAAACAGGAUUAGAUACCCGGGUAGUC
rnacentral:rRNA from 1 species